GUCCACGCCGUAAACGAUGAGUGCUAAGUGUUGGAGGGUUUCCGCCCUUCAGUGCUGCAGCUAACGCAUUAAGCACUCCGCCUGGGGAGUACGGUCGCAAGACUGAAACUCAAAGGAAUUGACGGGGGCCCGCACAAGCGGUGGAGCAUGUGGUUUAAUUCGAAGCAACGCGAAGAACCUUACCAGGUCUUGACAUCCUUUGACCACUCUAGAGAUAGAGCUUUCCCUUCGGGGACAAAGUGACAGGUGGUGCAUGGUUGUCGU
rnacentral:rRNA from 1 species